GAUGAACGCUGGCGGCGUGCUUAACACAUGCAAGUCGAACGAUGAACUCCAGCUUGCUGGGGGGAUUAGUGGCGAACGGGUGAGUAACACGUGAGUAACCUGCCCUUGACUCUGGGAUAAGCGUUGGAAACGACGUCUAAUACCGGAUAUGACCCUCAACCGCAUGGUUAGGGGGUGGAAAGAAUUUUGGUCAAGGAUGGACUCGCGGCCUAUCAGGUAGUUGGUGAGGUAAAGGCUCACCAAGCCGACGACGGGUAGCCGGCCUGAGAGGGUGACCGGCCACACUGGGACUGAGACACGGCCCAGACUCCUACGGGAGGCUG
rnacentral:rRNA from 1 species